rnacentral:tRNA from 5 species
NNNGGGGUGGAGCAGCUCGGUAGCUCGCUGGGCUCAUAACCCAGAGGUCGCAGGUUCAAAUCCUGUCCCCGCUAC